UUAAUUUUACUUAACACGGGGAAACUUACCAGGUCCAGACAUAGUAAUGAUUGAUAGACUGAGAGCUCUUUCUUGAUUCUAUGGGUGGUGGUGCAUGGCCGUUCUUAGUUGGUGAAGUGAUUUGUCUAGUAAAUUCUGUUAACGAAUGAGAUAUCAGCUUGCUAACUAUUCUUGGUCUUUUUUGUGCGUUGUCUUUAUUUUGUAUUAUUUGCGGUGGCGGGUCAAUCGGGGAUGUACGGGCGACUGUGCCUGGCGUUGAAACAUUGGUUUCUUUUUUCUAGCCUAUUUUGACCUAGUUU
rnacentral:ncRNA from 1 species